UUGUGAGUAUUUAUACAUAUAGGAUCUAAGGGUUUUCCCUUGUACAUGAGAUAAGACUAAAUCUUCUAUGAGAUACAUAUCGAAGUCCAUUAGGCCCAUUACGGUGGCUUGGCGUCGGAUAUGAGGAGUUAAUUUGCAGAUCUAUGGUGUUCUUCGUUGGUUCUGCUCUCAUGUGGCUCAGUCAAGGUUUGUUGCUGCUCGGAUGCUUUCUUCCGUUUUGGGGGUAGAGUUUUAGAUUCUCCGUUUGGGUGGAAAUUCUCUGAUCUGUUUUCAUUGGCUCUGUUCUCGUUGGAUUGGGAGUUGGUGAUGGUAUGUUGCGUGCUCCGGCUGCAUCUGUGGCAACGGCCUCCGUCAUUUAUCUUCAGGUUGUGUUUUUGCCUUUGGUUAAUUGCUCUGUUGGUUGGACGCGUGUAUCUUCUAGGUUUGGUUGUGUUUUAAUUUGGUUGAGGAGUGAAGCCUUAGAUUCAAGAUUAGGGUUGGCAUUAUUAGCUUUUAUCUCUGCCUCACUGUUAUCCUCCCUUCUGGAUUCUAGUGGUGUGAGAUGGUGAAGGUUUCGUUUGGUGGGUUCUUCCUUCGGAUGGUAGUCUUCUUUUGGUGUAGAGUUUCAGUUGUGAAUUGCUUUUGAGCUUUUGUUUUAUGCCAUUGUCCCUUUUCUUUAAGGUUUUUUCUCUCUUUUAUGUCCGUCCUUUGGGACCUUUAGUCUCUGGGGAUUUAUUUGUACCCGCCGGCUUUGUUUUCAGAAGGAUCUAUGUCCUUGCCGUGAUGUAUAACUCAAAUGUAUCCCAUCAAUGAAUCAUUUAGACAAAAAAAAAAA
rnacentral:lncRNA from 1 species